rnacentral:rRNA from 1 species
GUAGUCUCGCACAGAUGCAUAUCAAUAAGCGGAGGAAAAGAAACUAACAAGGAUUCCCCUAGUAACGGCGAGUGAAGCGGGAAGAGCUCAAAUUUGAAAUCUUAAAGGGUUUCCCUUUACGAAUUGUAGUUUAAAGAAGUGUUUUCUGUUGAGGUUUUGGUAAAAGUUCUUUGGAAUAGGACAUCAUAGAGGGUGAGAAUCCCGUAUUUGACCUUUACUUUCAACUUUGUGAUACACUUUCAAAGAGUCAGAUUGUUUGGGAAUGCAGUCCAAAAUGGGUGGUAAAUUUCAUCUAAAGCUAAAUAUUGGCGAGAGACUGAUAGCGAACAAGUACCGUGAGGGAAAGAUGAAAAGAACUUUGAAAAGAGAGUUAAACAGUACGUGAAAUUGUCAAAAGGGAAGCGUUUGACACCAGUGUUGUUUUUCUGAAAAUCAAUUAAAGAACUGUUUAUGCUAAGCUGUUUAGACUUUAUCAGCUAUCUGUUUAGUUUUGAGCUUUUCUUUAAUGCACUUUUCAGUUAACAAGUCAACAUCAAUUUCUUUUGCUGUAAAAAAGCUUGAGGAAGGUGGCUUGAGAUUCGUCUUAAGUGUUUAUAGCCUCUUGCCUAUGCAGUCGGAGAGAUUGAGGUCUGCAGCGUAGAUCCUUCGGGGCUAAAUGCAUUUGUGCUAAGUUAUAGCAUUUUAUAGACAACUUGUUGACUAUGAUUUGUCUUGUAGCUUACUCGCUUAUGUUAUUUUACCUACGCUUAGGAUGUUGAAGACUCUACAGAGAUA